rnacentral:lncRNA from 1 species
GAAAGCAUUGCCUACAGACUGUAACUGCCCGCUAUUGACUCUGUUGCUUCAUGAUGAAUGCUGGAUGAAACAUCUUCAAAUUCUACCUGAUUUAUGUAUGAUGUCAACAUGACUUAAGGCCUUACGGGAUCAUCCCCAGCACUGUGAAACUGGAGGAAGAAGCAGCAUUCAAGUGAGUGAAUGUGUAUUUGGACUGAGCAAAGGGAAUAUUCUUCAAGAGAGAUUCAAAAGGCUUCUGAACGAGAUGAGUCAUAAAGGACAGCCAAGGCCUUAUCCAGAAGUGAAAUAAUAAUUCAACUUAAAAAAAAUCUGGCCUAAUGACAACUUCAGUGGAUGGAUCACAUUACCUUGAUGCAUUCUUAUCAAUGUAAGUAUUGACAUGAAACAGAACAAUUCUUCUCCCAUGAAACAGUCUAUCUGUUGAUGCAAUUAUGUCAAGAGCAAUCCCUUAAAAGCAAGUUCUAAAACCUCAACAAAUGAAGCAGCCAUUAUUAAAGUCAGAGGAGUUGAGCAAAACUCCAAUCAGCUGAGGGAAAAUAACUCUAAAGUAAAAUUUGAAAACCAGUGGAGUUUGCAUUUACGGUUGACACUUGAACAACACGGGUUUGAACUACACAAGUUCACUUAUACGUGGACUUUCUUCUGCCUCUGCCACUCCUAAAACAGCAAGACCAAUCCCUCCUCCUCCUCCUCCUCCUCAGCCUACUCAACAUGAUGGACAAUGAGGAUGAAGACCUUUAUGAUGAUCCACUUCCAUGUAAUGAAUAGUAAAUAUAUUUUCCCUUCCCCAUGAUUUUCGUAACUUACUUUAUUGUAAGAAUACAUAUAUAACAUACAUAACAUACAAAAUAUGUGCCAAUCGACUGUUUUUGUUGUUGAUAAGGCUUCCGGUGAAC